CCUCCCUGCAGGUGAAUGGUGAUGACAACUACCUGAAUGCAGUGCAGAAUACAGUUCCUCUAUCCUGCUCCGAGGGCUUCACUGAGCUGGGUUAUUACAAUGGCACCGUUUCUCAGACAGACUCAGGUUCACCCUGUCUAAAGUGGACUGAAUUCCCAGAUUAUGUGCAGCAGUAUCCAGGCAGGGGUCUUGGAGAGCAUAAUUUUUGUCGAAAUCCUGACCGUGAGUCCAACCCAUGGUGCUUUUUCAGACAGAGCUCAGGGGCCAUUGGCUGGGCCUACUGUGACUGCCACCAAGGAGCAGUAAGGUUAGCAGGAGGUUCAUCCUCAAAGAGUGGCCGACUGGAGGUCUAUCUGAAUGGCCAGUGGGGGUCGGUUUGUGACACACACUGGACAGAUCGUGAUGCCAGUGUGGUUUGCCGACAGCUUGGACUGAGUGAGAUUGGCACGGCUCUCCAGCACUCAUAUUUUG